rnacentral:rRNA from 1 species
GACAGAGGGGGCGAGCGUUGUCCGGAGUCACUGGGCGUAAAGCGCGCGCAGGCGGCAACCUCAGUGUCGUGUGAAGGCCCCCGGCUCAACCGGGUGAGGCUAUGGCAAACUGGGUCGCUCGAGCUGCGGAGAGGCCCCUCGAAUUGCCGGUGUAGCGGUGAAAGGCGGAGAGAUCGGUAGGAAGACCAAGGGGGAAGCCAGGGGGCUUGCCGCAGGCUGAUGCUGAGGCGCGACAGCGUGGGGAGCAAACAGG